UACAGGGGGUGCAAACGUUGCUCGGAAUCAUUGGGCGUAAAGCGCACGUAGGCGGUCUGUUAUGUCGCAUGUGAAAGCCCUUGGCUUAACUGAGGAAGUGCAUCCGAAACUGGCAGGCUAGAGUACUAAAGAGGGUCGCGGAAUUCCCGGUGUAGAGGUGAAAUUCGUAGAUAUCGGGAGGAACACCGGUGGCGAAGGCGGCGACCUGGGUAGAUACUGACGCUGAGGCGCGAAAGCUAGGGGAGCAAACGGG
rnacentral:rRNA from 1 species